rnacentral:rRNA from 1 species
GCUAAACGCGAAGAACCUUACCAAGGCUUGACAUAUACGAGAACGCUGCAGAAAUGUAGAACUCUUUGGACACUCGUAAACAGGUGGUGCAUGGUUGUCGUCAGCUCGUGUCGUGAGAUGUUGGGUUAAGUCCCGCAACGAGCGCAACCCUCGUUCUAUGUUGCCAGCACGUAAUGGUGGGAACUCAUGGGAUACUGCCGGGGUCAACUCGGAGGAAGGUGGGGAUGACGUCAAAUCAUCAUGCCCCUUAUGUCUUGGGCUUCACGCAUGCUACAAUGGCCGGUACAAAGGGCUGCAAUACCGUAAGGUGGAGCGAAUCCCAAAAAGCCGGUCCCAGUUCGGAUUGAGGUCUGCAACUCGACCUCAUGAAGUCGGAGUCGCUAGUAAUCGCAAAUCAGCAUGUUGCGGUGAAUACGUUCCCGGGUCUUGUACACACCG